UUAGGCUUCACCGGUCGCUGCAAAAUCAGCGAUCGGGUUUGGUCGCCCGUCUG
rnacentral:ncRNA from 1 species